rnacentral:rRNA from 1 species
UCAAGCGUGAGGUAAGGGCAAUUCGUGGAUGCCUUGGCAUGUACAGGCGAUGAAGGACGUGGCACGCUGCGAUAAGCGUCGGUGAGCUGUGAGCAAGCAUUGACCCGACGAUUUCCGAAUGGGGAAACCCACCUAUCCCGAUUAAUCCGAACUGUGUGGCAACACGCAGCUUGGGUUAAUUAGGUUAGGUAUCACUUAGCUGAAUAAAAUAGGCUUCGUGAAGCGAACCCGGCGAACUGAAACAUCUCAGUAGCUGGAGGAAAAGACAUCAACCGAGAUUCCGUUAGUAGUGGCGAGCGAACGCGGACCAGGCCAGUGCCGACAAGUGAAUUAGCAGAAGCUUCUGGAAAGUAGCGCCAUAGCGGGUGACAGCCCCGUAUGCGAAAAUGAAAUUGUCGGACUCGAGUAGGGCGGAACACGUGAAAUUCUGUCUGAACAUGGGGGGACCACCCUCCAAGCCUAAAUACUCGUACAUGACCGAUAGCGAACUAGUACCGUGAGGGAAAGGUGAAAAGCACCCCGAUGAGGGGAGUGAAACAGUACCUGAAACGGAUUGCCUACAAGCAGUUGGAGGGCUUUUAUGGCCUGACAGCGUACCUCUUGCAUAAUGGGUCUGUGACUUAAUGUAUCAAGCAAGCUUAAGCCGAUAGGUGUAGGCGCAGCGAAAGCGAGUCUGAAUAGGGCGCCAGAGUUUGAUGUAUUAGACCCGAAACCCGGCGAUCUAGGCAUGACCAGGAUGAAGGUGCAGUAACAUGCACUGGAGGUCCGAACCGAUUAACGUUGAAAAGUUACCGGAUGAGUUGUGUUUAGGGGUGAAAGGCCAAUCAAGCCGGGAAAUAGCUGGUUCUCCGCGAAAACUAUUGAGGUAGUGCCUCGCACGAACACCUUAGGGGGUAGAGCACUGGAUGGGCUAGGGGGUCGCGAGAUCUACCAAACCUAACCAAACUCCGAAUACCUAAGAGUGAUAUGCGGGAGACAGACGGCGGGUGCUAAGGUCCGUCGUCAAAAGGGAAACAGCCCUGACCUACAGCUAAGGCCCCCAAAUCGUAUCUAAGUGGGAAAGCAUGUGGGACUUCCAAAACAACCAGGAGGUUGGCUUAGAAGCAGCCAUCCUUUAAAGAAAGCGUAACAGCUCACUGGUCUAAACAAGAGGUCCUGCGGCGAAGAUGUAACGGGGCUCAAGAUACGUGCCGAAGCUUAGGGUGUGCCACUGAUGUGGUACGCGGUAGCGGAGCGUUCCGUAAGCCUGUGAAGCGAUCUGGUAAUGGGUCGUGGAGGUAUCGGAAGUGCGAAUGCAGACAUGAGUAGCGAUAAAGAGGGUGAGAUGCCCUCUCGCCGAAAGACCAAGGGUUCCUGCGCAAGGCUAAUCCGCGCAGGGUGAGCCGGCCCCUAAGACGAGCCCGAAGGGGGUAGUCGAUGGGAACCACGUUAAUAUUCGUGGGCCUGGUGGUGUGUGACGGAUCAUGUGUGUUGUCUGCUCUUAUCGGAUUGAGCAGGCUUCGAAAUGGUUCCAGGAAAUAGCCCCACCGUAUAGACCGUACCCGAAACCGACACAGGUGGUCAGGUAGAGUAUACCAAGGCGCUUGAGAGAAGUGUCCUGAAGGAACUCGGCAAAUUGCCUCCGUACCUUCGGAAGAAGGAGGCCCUCACUAUGCGCAAGCACUUUGAGGGGGCACAGGCCAGGGGGUAGCGACUGUUUAGCAAAAACACAGGGCUCUGCUAAGUCGGCUUCAAGACGACGUAUAGGGCCUGACGCCUGCCCGGUGCCUGAAGGUUAAGUGGAGGGGUGCAAGCUCUGAAAUGAAGCCCAGGUAAACGGCGGCCGUAACUAUAACGGUCCUAAGGUAGCGAAAUUCCUUGUCGGGUAAGUUCCGACCUGCACGAAUGGCGUAACGACUUCCCCACUGUCUCCAGGACAUGCUCAGCGAAAUUGAAUUCUCCGUGAAGAUGCGGAGUACCCGCGGUUAGACGGAAAGACCCCGUGCACCUUUACUGCAGCUUCAGAGUGGCAUUAGGAAGAAACUGUGUAGCAUAGGUGGGAGGCUUUGAAGCAUCGGCGCCAGCUGAUGUGGAGCCAUAGGUGAAAUACCACCCUGUUUGUUUCUGAUGUCUAACCUCGUUCCGUAAGCCGGAACAGGGACCCUCUGUGGCGGGUAGUUUGACUGGGGCGGUCGCCUCCUAAAGAGUAACGGAGGCGCGCAAUGGUGGGCUCAGGACGGUCGGAAACCGUCUGUUAGAGUGCAAUGGCAUAAGCCCGCCUGACUGCGAGACUGACAAGUCGAGCAGAGACGAAAGUCGGUCAUAGUGAUCCGGUGGUCCCUCGUGGAAGGGCCAUCGCUCAACGGAUAAAAGGUACGCCGGGGAUAACAGGCUGAUAACCCCCAAGAGCUCAUAUCGACGGGGUUGUUUGGCACCUCGAUGUCGGCUCAUCACAUCCUGGGGCUGGAGCAGGUCCCAAGGGUUUGGCUGUUCGCCAAUUAAAGUGGUACGUGAGCUGGGUUCAGAACGUCGCGAGACAGUUUGGUCCCUAUCUGCCGUGGGCGUCGAAAUUUGAGAGGAGUUGACCCUAGUACGAGAGGACCGGGUUGAACAUACCUCUGGUGUACCAGUCGUUCUGCCAAGAGCGCAGCUGGGUAGCUAUGUAUGGACGGGAUAACCGCUGAAAGCAUCUAAGCGGGAAGCCUCCCUCGAGAUAAGAUUUCAUAGAGCCGUCGGAGACCACGACGUUGAUAGAUCGGAUGUAGAAGUGCGGUAACGCAUGGAGCUAACCGAUACUAAUUGCUCUAUUCGCGCUUGAGAGUCUCACACCAUCAAUGACAACACUGGGGCAACCCAGCACGUCAGACGAUAGUGCAGAUGAUUAGCACGACGCCAGAUUGCCAAUCCCCUCGCCGUCGAGGGAUUGGUCGAA